rnacentral:rRNA from 1 species
GAUGAACGCUGGCGGCGUGCCUAAUACAUGCAAGUCGAGCGAACAGACGAGGAGCUUGCUCCUCUGACGUUAGCGGCGGACGGGUGAGUAACACGUGGAUAACCUACCUAUAAGACUGGGAUAACUUCGGGAAACCGGAGCUAAUACCGGAUAAUAUAUUGAACCGCAUGGUUCAAUAGUGAAAGACGGUUUUGCUGUCACUUAUAGAUGGUUACGCGCCGCAUUAGCUAGUUGGUAAGGUAACGGCUUACCAAGGCAACGAUGCGUAGCCGACCUGAGAGGGUGGUCGGCCACACUGGAACGGAGACGCGGUCCAGACUCCUACGGGAGGCAGCAGUAGGGAAUCUGCCGCAGUGGGCGAAAGCCUGACGGAGCAACGCCGCGUGAGUGAUGAAGGUCUUCGGAUCGUAAUACUCUGUUAUUAGGGAAGAACAAAUGUGUAAGUAACUAUGCACGUCUUGACGGUACUUAAUCAGAAAGCCACGGCUAACUACGUG